UAUGCUGUGAUGAGGUUAAGCACCAUAGGGUGUAUUAGGGCAGUGGAACAAGGUUUAAAUAGCCUUCUCCGUGAGCCUAUUAAUUAACGACUUCUCCUUCCACUGAGCAUU
rnacentral:snoRNA from 1 species